UACGUAGGGGGCGAGCGUUGUCCGGAUUUAUUGGGCGUAAAGCGCAUGCAGGCGGUCCUGUAAGUUUGAAGUGACAGUUUCCGGCUCAACCGGGAAAGUGCUUUGAAAACUGCGGGACUUGAGGGCUUCAGAGGGACACGGAAUUCCGGGUGGAGUGGUGAAAUGCGCAGAUAUCGGGAGGAACACCGGUGGCGAAGGCGGUUCUCUGGGCCUGACCUGACGCUGAGGAGCGAAAGCGUGGGGAGCGAACAGG
rnacentral:rRNA from 1 species